rnacentral:lncRNA from 1 species
CAGAACAUUGUGCAAGCCAGGACAAAGUGGAAUUUUCCUUGGAACUAACAAAUGAGCAGUUCAAACAAAAGAUAAUUGAAAUCUAUCCCAAGUUAGAAAAUGCUUGUUUUGUGUUCAUGAAAGCUGGCAAAGACAAUAAAUUGGAAGAAUUGAACCCUGGUAGAUGCUGCUUCAGGUGUUACACGCCAGAUAAUGUUUACCACAGUGACCGAGGACAAGGAAGGCUUUAUAUACGAAAGAUUCCUGAGAAUCAG